rnacentral:lncRNA from 1 species
AACUCCUGGGCUCAAGAGAUCUUUCUGCCUCAGCCUUCCCAAGUGCUGGGAUCAUAGAUGCGAGCCUGUGUGAGCCCCUUAAGAGCAGCCUUCUAUUAAUCUUUGGGGACUUCACAACUCCUUAACUAAAGUGGAUAUUUAAUAAAUGUUUGUUAGAAAAUCUCAGCAAAUCAUCCAAGUGUCAGCUCAGGACAGGAGUUGAAAGCUCUUUGCCAACAUAUUUUAAACUCACCUUUGGGACUGACCAUCUAUGAUUAUUGAGUAAUCAUUUAAGAAAAAUGUUUGAGAACACAUUUGCAGGCUUCAAACUACACAAAGAAACGGGAGAAAAGGAAUGAUGCCAAAGACUGGGGUCAAGGUUGAAAAAAAUGAGAUUUAAAUUUGGAAAAUGAUAAAUUAACCAGAAAAGUUUAUGCAUUUUGGGUUUUACUCUGUGGUCUUGCUGCAGAACAAGUGGAGAAACUAACAACCCGUGGAAGAAAAUUCCUAGAAUCCUGGGAUCAAGUCAAAACACCUGAUGGUUUUAGAGGACAGAAUUUUUGGAGAGAAAAACACAACCAGAUGACUCUCUGCACCCCUUUCCCAGGCCAUGGGCACCUGCCUGAUUCCUAUGGUCAUGAAGGAACAUUUUUCUGAUGUGGCCAUAUUCAUGGUGUCAGUGCAAUCUCAUCAGAGAUGAGGCUCCCCACUCAAGCUGCCAUGUGACUUGACAGCUCUUCAUACCGUUCGCUCACCAGAGUGGUGUCCAGUUUCAGGAGCACGGAAGAAAACAAGACAGGAUGUUGUUCUGUCACUCAGGCUGGAGUGCA